rnacentral:snRNA from 1 species
AUACUUACCUGGUAGGGGAGAUACCGUGAUCCGGAAGGAAAGGAGGUUCUCCCAGAGUGAGGUUCGCCUUUUGCACUCCGGGCGUGCUGACCUCUGCGAUUUCUCCACAUGUGGGAAACUCGACUGCAGAAUUUGUGGUAGUGGGGGACUGCGUGCGCGCUCUCCCCCG